AAUGGGAGCACAGCUACGAGGAGCUGUGUGAGCCCCCUUUCCCCACCCCGCGGGGCGUGCGUAUCAACGUACGGCAAGAAAAGCGUAAAGUUUUGGGCGUGUUCGGGGGCGGCAGCAACAGCAAGGAAGUCAACCUUGAUAAGAACCUCCCGCACGCUAAGUGGUUCCUACAGCAGACCAAGGAGGCCUACCUCGCGGUCAAGCCCCUACAGGAGCUACAGACGCAGUGACUAGCAGCGGGUGCGGUGAUGGAUGUCCUCUUGGGAGGGGGCGGUCGCCUGUUGGGGGGGCCUCUGAUCUCGGGGGACGACAUCUACUCUGCAGCAGUGGAAGCUCUGCGUCCUGCAGUGGCGUCCUCUGCUCUGCAGAUGUGGCAGGAGAUUUUCGUCGCGUUGUGGUAAAGUUUCAAGAAAAAAUGGCAGCAGGCAUUGGAAUUUUACGGCGAUGGCUUAUAAACGGCGAUACCGUAAAUAAAACGGCGAUAGCGUAAAUAAAACGGCGAUAGCGUAAAUAAAACGGCGAUAGCGUAAAUAAAACGGCGAGACCGUAAAUAAAACGGCGUUUCCGUAAAUAAAACGGCGAUACCGUAAAUAAAACGGCGAUACCGUAAAUAAAAGAGAAAUACCCUUGAAAAAACGGAGAAACCGUUAAAAAGCACUUGAAGUUGGCAUGUAAUUUUGUUAGAGAAAUUUUCGCGACGUCUGGCGUGGAUAAGCAUCGAGCUAAUUAAUCAAAAACAAGUUAUCAAACAUCAGCGAAAUUAUAAUUUUUAAGACUUAAGCUUUUGAAAUUUAAAUGAAAAGGCACAAUAAAAUUCAUUUAUGGAACAGAAGAGGAAAAGAGAAUCGGUAUUGUUGGAAAAAAAAUUUAUCAUAAAUGAUAUUAUUAGAUCUUGGAUGAGUAUAGCAUUGCUUAAGCUUUGGAUCAGAACACCGGCGCUGAACUCUAUGACAUACCGUAAUUAUAUGUAUAUUAUAUUGUUGUGCAUGACAGUCCUGCCAAAUAUUAUAAAUAUUAUUUCCAGUCAUAUAUAUGCGUAUUUUUCUUCUCACUUAUUCAUGUAUUAUAUAAUGCCGUCAUUAUUGCACUUCUACACACGAAUCGUAUACUGACAAAUCUUUUCCUUCUCGCUGUUACUUCAAAAUUUCGUUUUAAUUCAUAAUUAUUCGAGCGUCGGUGUCUUAGAUUGAUAAUCGUCGUUUUGAAACUCACGAAAUUUUUGUCUAGUUUAUCUGCACAUCAAAAACAUAACUAAAAUCAACCGUUGAACUUUCGAUGAUUUCAAUCAAGGUCUUUCUCCCUUAUAUGCCGAGGCUGCGUUAUUUUGAGGAUCUCUUAUACCAUUAAUUAUAAGCCUUAUAAACUUAUACUAAAAUGAUAUAGCUCUUCAAACUAUAUACCUAUACUCUCGAUCUGCUUAUAUGCUAUCUUUUAAUUACAUUAUUGCUAUUCACUGUAGACAGCUCGAAUUUUUGUGACAAAACUUCGUUUAUAAUUCCGCUUGUAUGAAAUCAUUUAAAUAAAUAUGCCAUUCUCGUCUUGUUAAUAAGUACAAUUUCCUAUAAUCAUGUGCCGAUUUGAUCUCGCUUGCUUCCAGAUUGAUCUUUCUAAGAACUACCGACCCAUGCCAGACCAUUCCAUGUCGUCGUAUUUUCCAGCUAUUAUAAAAUAUUUGAUUUAUUAAUAUGGAUUGAGUAUAAACUGCCGCGACAUAAGAAACUUUACAUCGACUCCUGUUAUCACCGCACCCAUGUAUAUUUGGCUUUAUAGCUUCGGCUACUAGUGCAGCUGUGCCUCUAUGUAAUUAUCUACUUAGAAGUAAUAUAAUCUAACUAAUAUUACCUUGAUAAUCUUCAACAUUGUUGUAUAUAAGGUAGGAAAGUUUUUUUUUAAGUGGCAAGGUCGGAGGAGAUGGGGGGCAUUUUGCGUACCCCAAUUGAUGGGAGGUGAAAAAAUUGUUGGCAUUUGUAUCGUUUAAUGCUUUCGUGCACGUAGUUCAGGCAAUUAAACCUUUCAUGUAUUCAAUCAUAAUAUACAUUUACUUUUAUGAAUUUUCAUAUGUUUUGCAUAUAUAAAGUGACUAUUGUAGUUGAAAAAUCUCUUAAAUAUGGUCGCUAAGUUAGAAAAAGUAUAGAAUAUAAAUUUGAACGAUCUAAUGAUAAGAGUAACUAUCUAGCCUCAAUUUAAUUAAGUUCCUUUGAUUGAUUGAAUAUAUAUUGUUACUUCCAUCUUUUAAAAAACGCUGAAAGAGCGUCAGUUUCACUGUGCGAGUCAAAACUUUAAUUUAAAUGCUAAUAUUGUAAUUCUUGGGCAUGUUAAGAAAUGAUAUAAUGUAUGGAACGAUGGUCAAAUGAUUGACAAUUAUGAUGGUCACAUGAUUGAUGAUUAUAAUGGUCACAUGAUUGAUGAUUACGAUGGUCGAAUGAUUGAUGAUUAUGAUGGUCAAAUGAUUAAUGAUCGGCCGAGGUAUGAUAGCGUUGCGUCAAACACUAACUGGAGGCCGUGGUGGGUUUUUAUGGAGAUUGCAGCUGACCAUAUAUGUUAACUUACCCGCUAAAGAGAUAAUGCAAAGGGAAUAGAAAAAAUUGAAGAGAUCACUAAAUUUUUGUCGAUAAGUUUUCUGUUAGCGUGUCACGCAUCAACGUAUUAUGGCACGUAUAUCCUUGAUGGAGAAGUCAUUCUGUUCCUCAUUGGUUUGUUGUAACAUCAAAUUUCUGUCGCACUCAUUGGUAAUGUUUUAAUUGAGAUCUGAUAUUCAUGUUAACAAAAAUUGUAUUCAUCUUUCAUGAUUGAUAUGCAUUUUCAUUUACAUUUCUCCUUAUAUAUUAGCGCAAUAUUUUGUGCAUUCAGCUAAAAAUAUGAGGGCACUUAUUGCAUAUUAAAAAAUUCUAUAUUGCUAUCGAUGUUCAUUACAUCAAGAUUCUCAGAACUGCAUUCUCUUAUCGUUGAUCUGUUACCAUUUAUCGCUAUCAUUACUUUGACUGCUUUAAAUCUUUGUAUCAAAAACGUUAAGGUUAUCAAAUGUUCACUAAAUAUGUCAGCUAAGACUCCUCAAAAAUUCUCACUCUUUCGUUCGAUACACUUUCUAUUUCCAGGUAAAAAAAUUUUCCUAAGCUGUAAAUAUUUUUAGUUGUGGUUUCUUCUUAUAAUAUAGCAAUGUUUGUUUUUUUUUUGCUUGAUUAUCAUUGAUUAUUUACGCUUUUGUAAUAGAUUUUCAGGUGACGCCGCAGUGGUGGUCUUCCAGUCAUGCUUAUUGAGCUUAAUUAAAAUGCUAGCCUAAGAUAUUAAGAUAUUGAUGUUACACACUAUAGUCAUUGAGAGUGGUUACCUUUGUAAAGAUUACUAGAAAAUAUUAGUGUUGCGUUGCUUCAUCCACAUUCUUUUUUAUCGGAUUUCCAUUUAUAGAAUUGCAUUAUCGUGGCCAAGACAGUCGUACGUAUUAGAAAUUCGGAAGCCGUAUUAACUGUCUCUGCUACUAGGAUGCUUGUAGCGUUACUAUUAUUACGAAUAUUAGUGCACGAAUGAACCAAUUAUAAAUCAAGAAACACAACCCUGCAGAACACUACACUCGGAGAAAUAAGUGAGACAUUGUCCAAAUAGUGGCGUGACUUUUGCUCAUUUUUGGGCCAUCUUAACCUGUUUUGGUCCGACAAAAGAGCGUAUCAGUGCUACGUGCAUCAAGUGUGUCACUGUUUGGACAAUUUGACCCAUUCGUUUUUCUGCAUGUGCGGAGUUGCGAGUCUACUUAACUGUUCGUUGUUGUCGGUUGCUUAAGGCCCGGUCCACACCAUACUGCCGGACACGUGCCAGUCUUAAAACCCGGUCCACACCAUUUUGCCGGGCUCAUGGCAGUCUCAAGGUCCGGUUCACACCAAACUGUCGGGCACGGUCCACGCCAUACUGCCGGGCACAUGUCAGUCAUGGUCCAGUCCAAUAUACUUUAAUGCAUUUCCGUGCAAGCCUUCACAUCAUGAGCAUGGUAUGUGCCUUGCACGGCUGGUGUUAAUGCUUGCAUAGAAAUGCAUUAAAGAAUAUUGGACCGUGACUGGCAUAUGCCUGACACGUGUCCGGUAGUGUGGUGUGGGCCGGGUUUGAGUAUUCCUGUUAUCGUGUUUUGCACUCAAAAUAACCUGCAUCUGUGCUUUGCACUGUGAUUGUUUUCAUCCAUAUAUUGCUUUAGCGAAAUGAAUAUAGAUUAGUAAUAGUAGAUUAGUUUUACCUAUUUAGUGUGCCUAAGUCGAGGGCGUUUCGUGCGUAUGUUGAAACGCCAUUCACCGCAUUGCUUAACUAUUCAUUACCAUUUUUGCUGUAUUAUGAAUUAAUUUUCAAUGUUACGAGGAUAUCAUGAUAGUAUUUUCAUUAUCAUGUAUCAUUUUCCAUGGAAUUUCUUCACUUGUUAUUUGCCUGCGAAGUUUGGGCCAGCUUUCGCUAUUACUGAAACGAUGCUAAUCUCACCGACUUAGCAAACGUCUAAACCUUGUCUUAUUAUUUUUGAAACUGUUUGAAGGUUUUCGAAUACAUAGAUACUAAUAAAGUUUAUCUGUUUAUUA
rnacentral:lncRNA from 1 species